rnacentral:rRNA from 1 species
GGUCACUGCUAUUGGGAUUCGACUAAGCCAUGCGAGUCGAGAGGGUUCGGCCCUCGGCUGACGGCUCAGUAACACGUGGAUAAUCUGCCCUAAGGUGGAGGAUAACCUCGGGAAACUGAGAAUAAUACUCCAUAGGCCUAGGAUGCUGGAAUGCACCUAGGCUGAAAACUUCGGUGCCUUAGGAUGAGUCUGCGGACUAUCAGGUUGUAGUCAGGGUAAAGACCUGACUAGCCUACGACGGAUACGGGUUGUGAGAGCAAUAACCCGGAGAUGAUAUCUGAGACACGAUAUCAAGCCCUACGGGGCGCAGCAGGCGCGAAAACUUCACACUGUGCGAAAGCACGAUGAGGGAAUCCCAAGUGCUUGCACGUAAGUGUAAGCUGUUUUUCUGUCUAAAACACAGAGAGAGUAAGAGCUGGGUAAGACGGGUGCCAGCCGCCGCGGUAAUACCUGCAGCUCAAGUGGUGGCCGCUAUUAUUGGGCCUAAAACGUUCGUAGCCGGUUUAGUAAAUGCCUGGGUAAAUCGUGUAGCUUAACUAUACGAAUUCCGGGUAGACUGCUGAACUUGAGACCGGGAGAGGCUAGAGGUACUCCUGGGGUAGAGGUGAAAUUCUGUAAUCCUAGGGGGACCACCAGUGGCGAAGGCGUCUAGCUAGAACGGAUCUGACGGUGAGGGACGAAGCCCUGGGGCGCGAACCGGAUUAGAUACCCGGGUAGUCCAGGGUGUAAACGCUGCUUGCUUGAUGUUAGUUGGGCUCCGAGCCCAAUUAGUGUCGGAGAGAAGUUGUUAAGCAAGCUGCCUGGGAAGUACGGUCGCAAGACUGAAACU